CAAGGACUUUUUGCAUACCAAUUAUCCUCAGCACUGAGUGCCUGAUGCGUGGCUCCCAAAUUCAUCCAAAUUACCUGGUCCCAGGGAGCUGCUGCCCGCAAGUUAAAUUGAUGUCAGCAUGUCUAAAAACCAGAUUCAUGAUUUAAGAGCUUAAACAACAAUUCUACGCUUCCAAGCUUGAAGAGUGUGCCUUGAAUGCUCCUCUCUGAUUUUUUACUAGGUGCAGAUGUAACCCUUCCAACACAGUGGGUUACACAAGUGCCUAAUUGCAGAGCAAGGAGGAAGCACCAAGGAAUGCAUCUCCGCGUCCAAGCACUGGGCUCUGGUUUGUCCACCUCUCCCUGGGCUGAGACGAUGCAGAAACAAGCAAAGAGAAGGGACUUGAUCCCAACAAGAGGGAGAAGGGCUGUGGGAUGAAGAGCUGCAAGAACGUGCUGGCUUGCAGUGUCCUGUGGCUGCGGCUGUCGUGAUCUGGAGCUGGAGGAACCAAAUUAACCCAGAUCCCCCACAUGCCCCUGUGUAGCUGGGUCCCAGACACCCACUCAAGCCCACCCCAAGCCAACCGUGGCUAUUUGGGAACCUCAGUGCACGGACACGGCAGCUCCCACCAAGCCCAUCUGCCCGAGGUCUGGGAAUAUCUGCAGUCCACAUCCCAGUUCUGAGCCUGUAUUUCCUAAGCCUUCCUCACUCCUCCUCUUCCUCGGUCUCGCGGAGCUGCGAGGUGUGUCCCCUGGGAGAGCUGAAGGAUUCACUGCAGAGCACCGCUCGCAUUUUUGAUUAUGCAGCUCAGAGCCCUCGAAAGAGCCCUGCAGCCACUUAGCUCGCGAUGACGACUGAUACCAAACACCGUUUCCUCUUCUUGCAAGCAAGUAAAAAUAAACAACAUCCUACUGUACCUGCCUCUAUCCA
rnacentral:lncRNA from 1 species